rnacentral:lncRNA from 1 species
ACUGUAACCGUUUUUGUGUUCUUUUACUUAAAAUAUCUUGAAAAGCAGUCCACCGUGUGUAGCGAAGAAGGGUGCAAAGACAAGUGAUUCAACAGCCAUUAGCUUGAUGAGGAUGUUCAGUGAUGGUCCGGAUGUAUCCUUUAGAGGGUCCCCAAUGGUGUCACCGAUAACAGCUGCCUUAUGUGGUUCUGAUCCUUUGGGACCAAGAGUUCUUGCAUGUUCUGAAGCACCGGCCUGCAUUCCACAACAAAGUCCACACCAUAAAUAUAAUAGAACCAUUAACUUCAAAACAACAAAAUUACAGUCAGUCAAAUCAUGGAUACCUCGAUAUACUUCUUAGCAUUAUCCCAAGCACCCCCUGUGUUCGAUGCGGAGAUAGCAAUCUACAAAUAUUACCAAGACAGAAACAACUUAAAAAUGAUCCUCUUGUAGGAGAAUUACAAGGUUGUGGUGACCCGAUAUUAAGACUUGUUAACAUUACCUGGACGCCAGAGACGAGGGAUCCAGCAAGGACACCGGAGAGAGUUUCCACACCAAAAAAGAUCCCAACAAUAAGGGGUGUGAGCAUAACUAGCGCACCAGGUGGGAUCAUUUCUUUGAUGGAAGCAUCAGUAGAGAUUUUAACACAGGUAGCAUAGUCUGGCUUAGCAGUGCCCUCCAUGAGACCUGGGAUCGUGUUAAAUUGCCG